CUUGCACUUGAGAGGAUGUUCACCAGGAACUGCUGCCAGCCAUCUUAUUGUCCAUCCUGAGCCUGAGGACAAAGCAGGGCCAAGACCCGGAUGAGGGAAGUGGAAAGGCUAGGACAGAGUACACAAGGAGGCACUGGCCACACGCACAACUGGAAGAAACCCUGACAGCCUAGGCACAAGCCUGAACCAGACUGCUGGGGGAUGAGGGAAGACCAUGCACGGAGCAGAGAUGAACAAUCCCAGCUUAACCCUUUGAGACCAAAAGCCACAAGACAUCUUGAGCUGCUCAUAAAAACAUAAAAAGCUCAGCUCAAACCAACAAAGCCUGAACUCAACCUAAAGCGCCAAACCACAGAAUUGUGAGCUAAAUAAAUGGCUGUUGUGUUGUCACUAA